rnacentral:lncRNA from 1 species
CCCUGCAGAGAACAAACUUGCAAAAAUGUUCAGGGACCCAGAAAUCAAUGAUAAGGGAAAGGAUCUGGAACAGGCAAUGUAUAAUUUGCUACCUUGAAUUCUGAUAGUUCACAUAAGCAGUCUAUGCCUCAGUUUCCUUAACUGAUCUAUUUGGAUUGAUCAUAUGUCCCAGCUUGCCUGGGACAGUUUUGGUUAUGCCAAUUGUCCCAUAUAAUUAUUAAAAAUUCUGAUUUUACUCUCUAAAGUGUCCCAUUUGGGUGAUGAAUGAUAUGGUCACCCUAGUUAUGUGAUCCAAGGGUACUUUUUAUAUACUUUCAUGGGGAGAAACGAUUAAGCAUGGAGCAAUUGAGGUACAGCCAGGGGUCAAGUGCUUGGUACUCAGUGCAUUUUUAAACUAAGGUUUUGUCUGUGGAGCUAAUUUCACCAAUGAUCGUUAAAUGUCUCUUUGUAUCUUCAACAUGUUAUGAAGAUGAGAGAAUGGAGAGAGUAUAAGCUCUGGAUCUUAUCAAAUUAAUAAAGUUAAUACUACCCAGAAAGCAGGAAAACCCUCUUGUAUUACACAUUUCUUUGCAUUUUCUGGCCUCUUGAAAUCCUUAAAAACAUUUAAAAUCUUUCACAAAUAACUGAGAAACAUUGACAGUUCCACUAUAUUAUAAAAAGGUAUGGAAAAGGACAGAAAGCAAUGAUAACGAAUGCAUCAUAAUUUGGGUUUGGGUUAAGCUGGGCAUUCCUACAGCCACGCAUUUUAUUUCUAUAAAAAUACACAUAUGAAACAACUUUAAUGUCAAAUAACAAGUGAUUGGAGGAGUGAUUAUAGAGCAUCCAUACAAUGCAACAUAUUGCAGCCACUAAAAAUGAUAGCAUGCAGUUAUAUUUAUUGACAUGGAAAAGAGCUCAUAGCAUACCAUCAAGUGAAAAAAGCUAUUGCUGACAAGCAGGUGCAAUAUUAUUGUAAAUUUAUGUACAAUUACAUAAUAUAUAGUUGUAUGUGUUUACAUGGUUUAGAAAUGUCUAAAGUGUUCAUCCACAUAUUAAUAGUGAUUAUCUCUGGGUGGGGUGAUUGCAGAGGACUUUUAUUUCCUUUCUAUUUUUUAAACAAUGAACAUGUUUCCUUUUAAAAAACAUAAAACAUACAAUUUACAUGAAAUUACAAAAGGAAUUUCUCUUAAACUAUAAUUCAGAGGUUGAAAUACUUAUGCACAGAUGAUGAGAAUAGGCAUUGAUAUACGAAAGCUAAAUAGUCAGAACCUACACACAAUUAGAGCUCUUUCUACCGUCAGUAUCUGCGCCUUCCUGUAGCCCCAUUUCUUGUAACUACCCCCCCAACACCACCAAGAAAAAACAGACCCUAAAUGUAGCACCACAAUUCCUGUGGUGCCAGUCUUAAAAAAGGUGCCAAAUGGCCCCGUCCCCUGAUUUAAUACCUUUGUGCAAACCUGUCCCAUCUCAUGUGAGCUGGACUUGGUGACUAACUUCAGUCAAUAGAAUUAAACAGAAAUCACAUGCGUAAAAUAGAAACUAGGUCAUAAAAGUAGUAUGACAUCACCCGGAAUCUCUCUAUUGCUCUAGUUGUCAUGUCAAAAAACUACUUAGACAGACUAUGAAGAGAUACAUAGGGUGAGAAACGGAGGCCUUCAGCCAACAGCUGGGAGAAGCUGAGUCCCAUCAGCCAUUCAAAAGACUGCAGCCCCAGCCAAGAGUUUGAUGUAACCUCAGGAGAGACCCUGAGCCAGAACCACCUAGGAGAUGAUGAGCUCCUGGGCAAGACUGAGGUUUGUGUCAUUUUGCAUCCCCAGCACCGAGAAGAGUACCUGGCACUUAUUGGUGCGCAGACAAUGUUUACUGCAUGAUUAGAAGGUUUAACUGGAAAAACCUACUAACCUCUGGCCAACGAGCUAUACCUAGUGAUUCCAAAGUCCACAUAUAUUUACUCUGUUCUCACUGUACAAAGUAACCACUCUGAAGUCAAAAAAGCUGGGAUACAUGAAGACUGCCAUCCCUUGAGUCACUUGCCCUGUAGCUGCCACUGUUGGAAAAGGGCUUGCUUCUGUGUCCUUGUGCCCACUUUGAAAAUCCCUGGGAAGUCCUUGGAGUCAGAUGAGCAGGCCUCCGCCACUCUGCCAAAAAGUCUGUUCAAUCAGGAGUCCCCAACCCCUGAGCCAUGGACUGAUAUGGAGCUAUGGUCUGUUAGGAACUGGGCUGCCCAGGAGGAGCAAUGGUGCUUCUACAAUUUCCUUAUAGGAGGAGUGAAGAGUAAGCAUUUGGAUUGGACCAGGAUUUGGAGAACUUGUCAUGUUGCUCUACGUGCAUAUGAAAUACAUCAUUGUAACUUAGAAUGUGAAUUACAGAACAAACAUGAAAGUUAGAAAAAUAUUCUAAACAUAUUUUUAUGAUCUCUACUUGCAAUAAGGAAACUGUUAGGCUUUUCCAUCAAAGAAUAAGUGCAACAAAAACAAAAAUUUCUGGAUGGAAAAAAGGAGAUUUGAGGGGCAAGGCUAAAGCCCCCCAAACCUUCCUCAGGAUGAACACAAACCCCAUCUUUAUUUUCCUGUUGCCACUGUUCCAUGUUGCUGGGCUCUAUUCCAGCAAAAUUUUGGAAAGCGUUGCUACAGUUCUGCUCAUUUCUUUCUCACUUCAGAACAAUGAUGCCCUUUCCAGAUAAAGCAUCUUAAUUAAACAGAUGACAUUUGAACUAGACCUUGAAGAACAGGUCAGAGUUAUAUUGGGAAAGAAGUAGGAGAGGAACACCCAGAAAAUAACAUUUAUGAACAUAAAGGCACAGAAUAUAAAUGUCUCUGACAAAGACAGAAAUCAAGGGUAAAUUUUAGUGUGGCAUAGAUUAAUUCACUAACUCAAUAUAUAUAUAUUUACAUAGAGAGCAUGGAUAGAUACUAGAAAUAAAACAAUGGAUUAGACAUGGGCAACCUCAUGAUGUUUAGCAAAUAUUGUGUUCUUUAAGGCAGCAGUUCCCAACCUUUUUGGUACUAGGGACCGGUUACGUGGAAGACAAUUUUUCCACAGACUGGGAUGGGGGGACUGUUUUCAAGACAAUUCAAGCACGUUACAUUUAUGGUGCACUUUAUUUCUAUUAUUACUGCAUUGUAAUACAUAAUGAAAUAAGUACACAACUCACCAUAAUGUGGCAUCAUUGGAAGCCCUGAGCGUGCUUUCCUGCAACUAGACAGUUCCCUCUGGGGCCAAUGGGAAACAAUGACAGAUCAUCAGGCAUUAGAUUCUCAUGAGGAGCCCGCAACCUACAUCCCUCACAUGCACAGUCCACAAUAGGAUUCAUGCGCCUAUGAGAAUCUAGUGUCAUGGCUGGCAGAUAUAACAGAAGAUGGAGUUCAGGCGAUAAUGUGAGUAAGAGGGAGCGGCCAGAAAUACAGAUGAAACUUCACUCACUCACUUGCCACUCACCUCCUGGUCUGCGUCCUGGUUCCUAACGGGCCAUGGAUAGUUACAAGUCUGUGGCCCAGGGGGUUGAAGACCCCUGCCCUAGAGUACAUAUGCAGUGGAUGUUGAGAAACAGAUUAAUUCAUUAAUGCAGAGUCUUCAUAUUCCAAACAAAAGAUUUGAGGGUUUUAUCUGUUAUAACAACACUUGUGUUUCACUAAUUAUGUCAGGCACGACUCUAAUAACUUCAAAUUUAUUCACUCACCUAUUAUUAGAACAACAUUAUGAUAUAGGAAUACACUUGAUAUGUCCAUUAUACUGAUGAGGAGAUUCAGACAUAGAGUAGUUAUUUAACUUGGGUAAGGUCUUCAGAGCUAAUAAGAGGAAGAACCAGGACUUGAGCAUGGGUAGGGUGGCUUCAGAGUGGUAGUCUGGCUGUUUGUUUGUAAUCACCAAAAUGAAGCUACAGUGAUGUUUCAGUUUACAUAACAGAGUCCUGAGGCUUAAAGAUGCCAGGAAAUUAAUUUAAAGAUAUUGUAGUACGUAUCCCUGUCCAGACUAGAACUCCAGUCCAGGAGAACGCCAGUGCUCCUUCUGUUUCACAUAGAGAACACAUCAGUACUGUGACACACAGAAAGGUUUUAGUGGGAUGCUUGGUUAAGAGAAAUACGUUUACAACAAAAGAGGUGAUACUGUUGCUUGUCUUAGAAAAAUAUGGGAGACCUCAAUCAGCUGAAGUUCAACAUGUUCAAAGGUGGACAAAGUUUCUCGUUGCUCUAAGUAAGUUUAAAAUUGAGCCAAAAAGGUCUUGAUUGAUAAGGGUGGCUGAUACAUUUUUGAAUGUUUUCACUGGCAUGAUUCACAAAAUUGUAUAAAUUGUAUAGUCCCAGGCUAUCCCACCAUUAACUGCCUCAUGGGGACUGUCUCUAACUUCCCCAGGACUUGAUCCAUAGGGAAAUGCUUGCAAGAAUAAAAAGCAUUAAUGAAUUCAGGAUUCGUUUCUCACUAAACAGCAGUUUGGGGUGAUGUCACACACACACACACACACACACACACACAAAAAUGGAACAAGCCAGCCCCAUUUUCAGCAUUGCCUCAUUUAAGCUUGGCACACAAAGACAAUUGAUGCUGACUCAGAGUUAUUUCAAGAUGGAAAGAGUGUCCUGAAUUAUCACACCCCACGUAAUCCUAGCCACCCUGUAUUCCUUCUCCUUACUGUCCCAUAGGUGGGUACAUCCAUCCCAGAUAACAAGGUUUGACUCAUUUAAGGCCCUUUUCCUUCUGCACAAGAUCCUGAAAUUUUCCCUACCGUGUGUGUUUGAUGGUGCAGAAGAAAUAAUUCUCAAAAAUAAACUAGUUUAUCAUUAGAUGGAAGCAAGGUAUCACCUUUAUUAAUGAGAAAGCAGAGUUUGAAGGACAUAGUGCAUUCCUCAUGCAGCUAGACCCUCUGCUAUUGGCUCCUGCCUUUAAAUUAGAAAGCCUUACUUUUCCAUCUGCAGGUAUUGCUAUCCCUUUACAAGCCUCUGCUCCCACGGAAAGAAAAUUGUGCAACAUACGACAAAAAGCAAUAGAGGCUUCAGACUCUCCAAAAAGAAAAAGAAAUUAUGUCAAGAAUGUAGUUUAUUAUUUCCCAAUUGACUCUAAGAUUAAAUUGACUCUAAGAUUAGUCAGUAACUUUUCCAUGAUGUAAUGAGUAAUGAGACAGAGAGAAGCAGAGUGUUCCACUAAUUGAUCUCAAUCCACAAGAAAGGAAAAGUAUUUCCUCCUUCCUUCCUCCACAUUGUGUUCUCUUAGAACUGUGCUUUACUUGCCCAGGGAAAAGAACACAAGUUGAGUUUAAGAAGCCAGUUCUUCCCAUUCCAAGAUGAGGCCCCACAUCCAAUGCUAACACUACUUCUUGGAGUGAAUACACUUUAGAACUAUCAAUGAAUGAACUGAGCUGAACUUCCCCAACCCCUGUAGACUCUAAAAUGGGUCAGAAGAGCACAUUGGUUAAAACAAGUCUAAGGCUGAAAAUUUAAUCUCUAUUUGAUUUUCUGGCUUACAUUUUUUUUCUCAGUAACCUUGCCAAAAUAGCCUAGUAGGAGAUCCAUUUUGAACUUGAGUGAUAACAUAAUUAUACUCGAAUCACAAAAUGUCAAUAAUGAGAUGACCCACAUUUAAAUAACAUAUUUUUUUGCUACUAUAACAUUACUGGGCCUAUAUUAAAAUAGAAAGAUUAAAUUAUUUUGCAACUUACUUAAAGUAUAAAUAUAAUGCUUCCAAAGAAUUAAGGGCCAAAUCAUUUUUUUUCCUGAUACUUGUGAGGUAAAAUUUAACAGAUUUUAAAGUCCCCACUCAUUUAAUUUUUUGGCCACUUGGUGUCAGCUGGAAGAGUUCUCAAUACAUUGGACAAGACAGUGAUCUCUAAGCAUUUGAAAAUUGAGCUCUUUCUCAUUGGAAGGGGUGUAUUUUCUUCUUCAUGGUCUCAGAGGUUGUAUUUGUUUAACACUGAGUCUCUGAAGUUCUUCACUAUUUAAAAAAUUCCAAGAAGUUACUGUUAAAGAAAAGAUUAUCAUAGCAAUGGCAUUUAUUCUGAGAACUGGAUAAACAGCAAUCCAUCACGGCUUCUAGAAGAGUUUUCACAGAGAAAAAUAUUUUCAACCUGAUCAUUUGUAUUGCCAAAGACUGCGGCAGAAACUUAGUAUUGUGCUAAAAGAAGAUGGAUAUCUUGGUGGAGACCUUGCUGGCAUAUCAUUCAGUUCAUGCUAUUUUUAAAAAAUCUAAUAAUUGAAAUUUUAACUCAGUUGGAAAACUUUCUCACCAAGAUAUUCAUUCUGGAAUUUUUUACUAUAUCAAUAAAAUUUACUUAUAACUACUGCCUGAUAAGUCAGAAUGGAUUUGCUUGCUUUUCCACUCAUAACAUUCAAAAGCUCCUGGCUUCCAUGUCUGCUGAAUGGGGAUUCUACAAAGUAAAUGGAGUUCCCCACACUUUCUUAUGAUAAAGAAUUUUUCAGUUCUGAAAUACUAAGGCUGCUUCUCCUUCAUUUAAUUUAUCUUUCAAAUUUUUAAGACAUAUAAAAAUAUCCCUUCUUUGAGAGGGUUUCCCCUCUUAUAAGUAAUUAAGAGAUACAGAAUUAAUUUAUCACAAGAUAGUGUUGAUAGCAGGAGGGUGAGUUAGUUGAUACUUGACCCCAUGGAAAAGCUGGUUGAUAUGGUUGACUGUGUUCCCACCCAAAUCUCAUCUUGAAUUGUAUUCCCCAUAAUUCUCACAUAUUGAGGGAUGGACCUGGUGGGAGGCGACUGGAUUAUAGGAGCAGUUUCCCCCAUGCUGUUCUCGUGAUAGUGAGUUCUC